GAUCCUGGCUCAGGAUGAACGCUAGCGGCAGGCUUAAUACAUGCAAGUCGUGGGGCAGCAGGUUUGUAGCAAUACAGAUGCUGGCGACCGGCAAACGGGUGCGGAACACGUACAGAACCUUCCUUGAGCGGGGAAUAGCCCAGAGAAAUUUGGAUUAAUACCCCAUAGUAUAAUGAAGUGGCAUCACUUUAUUAUUAAAGAUUUAUCACUCGAAGAUGGCUGUGCGGCUGAUUAGGUAGUUGGCGGGGUAAAGGCCCACCAAGCCUGCGAUCAGUGACUGGUGUGAGAGCACGACCAGUCACACGGGCACUGAGACACGGGCCCGACUCCUACGGGAGGCAGCAGUAAGGAAUAUUGGUCAAUGGAGGCAACUCUGAACCAGCCAUGCCGCGUGGAGGAUGAAGGUCCUCUGGAUUGUAAACUUCUUUUAUAUGGGACGAAAAAAGGCUUUUCUAAGUCGUCUGACGGUACCAUAUGAAUAAGCACCGGCUAACUCCGUG
rnacentral:rRNA from 1 species